GGGCUUGCUUCAGCAGCUCAUAUACUAAAAUUGGAACAAUACAGGGAUUAGCAUGGCCUCUGCGCAAGGAUGACAUGAAAAUCCGUGAAGCAUUCCAUGUUUUA